AACACUACCUAGAGGUGGGGGAUUAACGUAGACGAAAGUUACGCUAAUACCGCAUACGCACUAAGGUGGAAAGUGGGGGAUUCGCAAGAACCUCAUGCUCAUGGAGUGGCCGAUAUCUGAUUAGCUAGUUGGUGAGGUAAAGGCUCACCAAGGCGACGAUCAGUAGCUGGUUUGAGAGAACGACCAGCCACACUGGAACUGAGACACGGUCCAGACUCCUACGGGAGGCAGCAGUGGGAAUUUUGGACAAUGGGGCAACCCUGAUCCAGCAAUGCCGCGUGAGUGAAGAAGGCCUUCGGGUUGUAAAGCUCUUUUGUCAGGGAAGAAACGGUGAGUUCUAAUAAAGCUUGCUAAUGACGGUACCUGAAGAAUAAGCACCGGCUAACUACGUG
rnacentral:rRNA from 1 species